rnacentral:misc_RNA from 1 species
CUCAGUUCAGUUGUAAUUUUGUCUGGCCAGAGGGAAGUUCAAACUGCUUACUAGGGAGAUUUAUAAUGACUUGGAGGACAUACUCUGGAGAAAAUUGCUGUAGAGUGGGAAUUGGGGUAUGCUGCUUUAUUUGUCUAUCAAAGAACUAUGGAAAGUGACAAGUCAAUUUCUGCUCCCUCAGAUGGGCACAGUGAGGGCGUUCAGAGAAUUCGGCCUCUGCAUGGACGGACUAGUGGCCCAGCAAGGCGUUCCACAAAGGGGCAAUGGACAGCUGAAGAGG